CCCAUGAAGGAGCUGGACCUGCGGGAGUUUGCCUCAGGGAACGGCACCAAUGCCGUGUACAACCUGUAUGCCGUGUCCAACCACUCAGGCACCACCAUGGGCGGCCACUACACGGCCUACUGUCGCAACCCCACCUCAGGUGAAUGGUACAGCUUCAACGACUCCAGGGUAACGCCAAUGUCCUCCAGCCAAGUGCGCAGUAGUGAUGCGUACGUGUUGUUUCUAUGAGCUGGCCUCCUCCUCACGGAUGUAAACCCCCCCCGUCAACCCCAUCUCCCCCCUCAUCCUCUCCUACGAUGACGCUGAACGACAGGAAGGCCAAGGCGCAACAGACACAGACACACACGCAGACACACGCAAAUGCACACAGACAUACACACAGACACACACACACACACUCAGACACACACACACAAGCAAAUGCAGUGAAAAUAAAUAAAUCUCAUUAUUUUCUUCCUCAACCCAUCUGGUCAUUAUCGUCCAAUUCCGCUGAAACAGUGUGUGUGUGUGUGUGUGUGUGUGUGU